UGAAGCAAUAACUUCAAAGCUUUAUUUUGAAGCAAUAGAUCUACCCUUUGAUCAUUUUCAUCCGUUGGAUUAUACUAUUAAACCAACCACCCACUCAACCCUAGGGCCUCACUAUCAUCCUAACCACACAUCCUUUCAACCAACGGCCGAAAACUCAAUAGUACUAAGAGCUUGGUACAUUGAUAGUAUAGUAUCAUAAUUCUGGUCUUUAAUUAUACAGUGAUAUAUCUGUUGUUGUG
rnacentral:lncRNA from 1 species